rnacentral:lncRNA from 13 species
UGUAUGGUAAACACAUACUGUUUACUACUUUAGAACACCCUGAGCAGUUUUCUGUUUGGGGGGCUGACUUGGUUUUCCUUGCCAUCACUCUCAGCAAACAAUAUAGUCCGUCAUACACUCAGCAAGUAUUGCUUUUGCUGCAGCCCACAAUUUUGACCUUUCUCACUGUGGUUGGCAAAAUAACAUCUCCCAGAAGAUGUCCAUGCUCUUAUCUCCAGGACCUGAAUUUGUUACCUUCCUCUCUAUCCAAGCCAUCACCGUGGAAAGGGUAGAGAAAAGAAAAUUUUCUUCUAGACAUUUGGGGAAACUGAAGACCAAGGAGAUGGAGUGUCCAAGGUUGAGAAGGACAAGAAGGCUUGCAAAAGUCUGGUGGACUUCAGAGCACCUUCCCAGUGCAUGGAGCCUAUGCUGGGAUUCUGCUACCUGGAUCCUAGAGUCAGCUCUUUUGCUACUCAGCAUUCUGUGAACCGUGGAUAUUUCACUUCAAUGUCUGGAGAGUUUUACUUGGAAUAAAGAUUUCACUUGCUCUG